AUUUUAUGGAGAGUUUGAUCCUGGCUCAGGACGAACGCUGGCGGCAUGCCUAACACAUGCAAGUCGAACGGAACAUCAAAGCUUCGGUGGCGAUGUUUAGUGGCGGACGGGUGAGUAACGCGUGGAUCAUCUACCUCGGUGUGGGGAAUAACAGCCCGAAAGGGCUGCUAAUACCGCAUAAUAUCCUUCGGGAUCAAAGGCUUUGGCCGCAUCGAGAUGAGUCUGCGUCCGAUUAGCUAGUUGGUGGGGUAAGAGCCUACCAAGGCGACGAUCGGUAGCCGGCCUGAGAGGGCGAACGGCCACACUGGGACUGAGACACGGCCCAGACUCCUAC
rnacentral:rRNA from 1 species